rnacentral:rRNA from 1 species
UGGGGAAUAUUGGACAAUGGGGGCAACCCUGAUCCAGCCAUGCCGCGUGAGUGAUGAAGGCCUUCGGGUUGUAAAGCUCUUUUGGCGGGGACGAUGAUGACGGUACCCGCAGAAUAAGCCCCGGCUAACUUCGUGCCAGCAGCCGCGGUAAGACGAAGGGGGCUAGCGUUGUUCGGAAUUACUGGGCGUAAAGCGAGUGUAGGCGGUUGCCGUAGUCAGGUGUGAAAGCCUUGAGCUCAACUCAAGAAAUGCACUUGAUACUGGGUGACUAGAGGACCGGAGAGGAUAGUGGAAUUCCCAGUGUAGUGGUGAAAUACGUAGAGAUUGGGAAGAACACCAGUGGCGAAGGCGGCUAUCUGGACGGUUACUGACGCUAAGACUCGAAAGCGUGGGGAGCAAACAGGAUUAGAUACCCUGGUAGUCCACGCCGUAAACGAUGGGUGCCAGACGUUGGCGAGCUUGCUCGUCAGUGUCGCAGCUAACGCGUUAAGCACCCCGCCUGGGGAGUACGGCCGC